rnacentral:tmRNA from 1 species
GGGGGCGUACUGGCUUCGACGUAUUGUUAAAAGCAAAAAGAGCAUGUCGAGCGUUGUUUGAGUGCUCGUUAAACAAACAAACAAUAAACAAUAUCUGGCAAUAUAUUUGCCCUACAAUCUAACCUAGCUUAAAUUGUACUUGCACACACGGCGUGUCUAUCAGUUGUGUGUACUCGUAUAAACCAGAUAGAAUUUUUUAGGUAACGUUGAGCGGUUGAAUAGCCUAAAUCAUAAUAUCAAGCUGCCGUUUGCAUCAACUGUUUGUGCUCAGGAUGUAAAUGUAUUAUGCGCAAUAAACAUGUAGCGCUUUUUACUUGCAACAGUGCGGACAUGGGUUCGACUCCCAUCGCCUCCACCA